rnacentral:rRNA from 1 species
UACGUAGGGUGCAAGCGUUGUCCGGAUUUAUUGGGCGUAAAGAGCGUGUAGGCGGCCUGGUAGGUCUGCUGUGAAAACUCGAGGCUCAACCUCGAGAUGUCGGCGGAAACCAUCUGGCUAGAGUCCGGAAGAGGAGAGUGGAAUUCCUGGUGUAGCGGUGAAAUGCGCAGAUAUCAGGAAGAACACCUAUGGCGAAGGCAGCUCUCUGGGACGGUACUGACGCUGAGGUGCGAAAGCGUGGGGAGCAAACAGG